AUUGAACGCUGGCGGCAUGCCUUACACAUGCAAGUCGAACGGCAGCAUGAUCUAGCUUGCUAGAUUGAUGGCGAGUGGCGAACGGGUGAGUAAUACAUCGGAACGUGCCCUGUAGUGGGGGAUAACUAGUCGAAAGAUUAGCUAAUACCGCAUACGACCUGAGGGUGAAAGUGGGGGACCGCAAGGCCUCAUGCUAUAGGAGCGGCCGAUGUCUGAUCAGCUAGUUGGUGAGGUAAAGGCUCACCAAGGCGACGAUCAGUAGCUGGUCUGAGAGGACGAUCAGCCACACUGGGACUGAGACACGGCCCAGACUCCUACGGGAGGCAGCAGUGGGGAAUUUUGGACAAUGGGCGAAAGCCUGAUCCAGCAAUGCCGCGUGUGUGAAGAAGGCCUUCGGGUUGUAAAGCACUUUUGUCCGGAAAGAAAUGGCUCUGGUUAAUACCUGGGGUCGAUGACGGUACCGGAAGAAUAAGGACCGGCUAACUACGUG
rnacentral:rRNA from 1 species